AAUGGGCGCAAGCCUGAUCCAGCCAUGCCGCGUGAGUGAUGAAGGCCCUAGGGUCGUAAAGCUCUUUCGCCAGGGAUGAUAAUGACAGUACCUGGUAAAGAAACCCCGGCUAACUCCGUGCCAGCAGCCGCGGUAAUACGGAGGGGGUUAGCGUUGUUCGGAAUUACUGGGCGUAAAGCGCGCGUAGGCGGACUAGUCAGUCAGAGGUGAAAUCCCAGGGCUCAACCCUGGAACUGCCUUUGAUACUGCUAGUCUUGAGUUCGAGAGAGGUGAGUGGAAUUCCGAGUGUAGAGGUGAAAUUCGUAGAUAUUCGGAGGAACACCAGUGGCGAAGGCGGCUCACCGGCUCGAUACUGACGCUGAGGUGCGAAAGUGUGGGGAGCAAACAGGAUU
rnacentral:rRNA from 1 species